GGCCGGGGUGGCCUGACCCUCAGACACUUCCCAUGAGGCAAUGUGUGUCCGUUUGCAUGUGUGCCCGUGCAUGUGUGUUCACACGUGUAUGUGCAUACAUGUGCACACAUGUAUAGUGUGCAUGCACGUAUACACGUGCAUGCACACGCAUUUGUGUUUGUGUGUGCAUGUGUGCCUAUACUCAUGCGUGUGUGUGUGUGUGUGUUGGGCAUGUUCAAGGCCUCUGCCUGUAUUGUGUCAUGACACCAGCCAGGAGUAAAAUGUUUAACUGCCAGCUGUGUGAUCUUCAUCACAAACGCUAUCUGACUGGUUUUUUAAAUGAAAUGAUUACUUAAUUGAAUUUCAGUCAAAAAUUCAACUGUGUGGUUGAGAUUUGCCACUCCCUCUCACAAAGGAAAGAUAUCUGAGACCCUGGGAGGGCCUGUUGAUCGAUCUAAGUAAACAUGCCUGGUUUGGUGGCUACUUCAUUUGUUACCUUAAUUAAAAUAUUCCCUUAAAAAUAAACAAUCUUUAUGUUUAAAAUAAUAACUUACAAACUCAGCAUUAAGCCACGUAACAACGCUAAAACGUGUUUUGUUUAAUUCUGGUACUUUGUCAUAAUCACGAACUCCCAUCUGGCCUCCACCAGGCCCAGGCGUUCAUUAUUAUUCUGAGAAGCAGAGUAAGACCAUUUUAAGAAAGUUCCAGGGAGUGACAUUAUUUUCUAAGGAGCACAAGGAAUCAAUUUUAAACAACUAAAACUUAUAGAAAGUGGAAUGGACGUGCAUGAGAAGUGAGUGCCUCGAAGCAGGUGCCCGUCAAGCAGGGCAAGAGAGGUCCCUUAUUCUGAAGGAAGCUCAGUAGCUUCCAUAAUUCCCCACUCAUUUCCCUGAGUGCUGAUCUUUGGAACAAUGGAAGUUUAGGGAGACUUGAUUUAAUUUCCUCUAACAAACUCUAAAAAAUAAAACCCUGGUAUCCCACAUUAUUAUAUCAGCCUCUUUAAAGUGGAGUUAACAAUAUUCGUGGAUUUAGAAAUGCUUGCAUCUUUCAAACUCUCACCUAGUCUGUUGGUCACAUAGAAGUUCGCCAGGGGAAAAGCAGCUGUCUGCGCACCCCAGAUGCUCCCUGCUACCCUGGCCAGAUGACCACACAGGUGGCCCCAUGCUCCGGCUGGCUCCUGCGCCAGCCUAACCCUAACACCCCCACCUCAUUCUCCCCAUCACCACCACCACCACCACCACCUCCUCCUUUGCCUCUGUUCUAUCCCAAGAAAUUUCUGAAACUUUAGAGAGGUCACUGAUUUUGAUUGCAAAUUUAAAAGAUUCAUAAGGCAUAUAAAAUUUUAAGCUGUGCAAAUCACGUAAGAUGGAACAUUUCAGAAAACAAGAAGGAUUCGGGACAGUCUGACAUCUUGUGUCCAUGCAUUUUGCUCUGUGGAGGUGGUCCCUGCCCAGUGGCCCUCCCGCCGUGUGCCCACCCACCCAGGGUACACUGGCCUAGCCACCUAUGCUGUGUAGGUUCAGUGGCGGGUGGGGGUGGGGGAGUCCAGCCUCGCAGCUGUCUAUGAGAUCUCUGCUCCGGGAGUGCGGAGCGUCCCUGCUCAGGAAGCAGAAAACACCUGGCAAUUCCUUCUUGAUUUGACUUAGGUAGAUGAUGAAAAGCAUCUUAAAAGCCACUUUUGGGCAGCCCAGGUGGCUCAGAGGUUUAGGGCCGCCUUCAGCCCAGGGCCUGAUCCCGGAGACCCGGGAUUGAGUCCCACAUCGGGCUCCCUGUGUGGAGUCUGCUUCUCCCUCUGCCUCUCUCUCUCUCUCUGUCUCUCAUGAAUAAAUAAAUAAAAAAAAUUUUAAAAAGCCACUUUCACUGCCGCUUAUCACAUUUUCUGCAUAAGGUUGAUGGCCAGUGGGCUGGUGGCGCAGGGGCAUGAGAGGGGCCAGGCUGCGAGGACCAGCGGUGGGACCAGUUGGGCCAUGCCCUCAGCCUGGCUGAGUCCAGAGGCUGAAUAUGGGCCAAUAUCUGAAGAGCACUCUGGAUGAGCGCCUACUAAACCGGCUAUGAAUCAUCCUCUUUGCUCAGGUAGCAUCAACAUAACAAGGAGGAAACACUGGCCCGUUGCCUCUGAUCAGAUCCCCCAUGUUCCACAGUAAUCGCCCAAGCAUCGGCACGAUGGAUUUGCCACCUCCGUGGGUCAAGUGCUGACCGGUGACGGGUCUCCACUCGU
rnacentral:lncRNA from 1 species